GAAACGUAUCAGACAAACCAGAUACAAACGGAACUUUCAUUUUAGUUUCAUUCAGACUAAAGACGGACAUGUGGAUUGCUAACAUGUUCGCGGGCUGGGAUUCCCCAACAGUACGAUACGGAGCAGAUUAGAAUAACUAGAAAUUGUUAUAGGCUACCAAUUUAACAGCGUAUUCCUCGAGGCACAGGAUCCAUAUUCUUUUUCACCCAGUACAAAAUGAGGACCUUUCUGGGAGCGUUAUUAGUGGUAACGUUAAUUGUCUCAGGUGAUGGAGAGACUAUGCUAGAAGACAGUGUCCUUCUACCAUGCGCCUGCUCAGAGAGAAAUUUGCACAAGGAGUUUAAGUGGCAGAAGGAAGAACCAAACCGGUCAUUGAUCUUCAAAAACAACCCCACCAUUUCAUACUUCGACUCCAAAUACACGGACAGGGCCAAGAUAUUUCUGUCUGAAAACCGCGAUAACUGCUCUUUCUCCUCACCAACGUCACAGAGGAUGACCAAGGGAAAUACAGAUGCAGUUUUCGCAAGCAAGAGGAAUACCAGUAUUUUUUUGUAUAUCUAAACGUUUCUGCAUGCUACACUGUCUGCCAGACACUUCAGGGUGGAAGUGUAAAUUUUCACCAGUGUUAUGUAAAAAAACGCUACAGAGAGACUGAGAUUCAGUGGAUUGUGGGUGGACAGCUUCUUACAGAAUCAAACACAACUAACAUAAACAAAACCUACACCAUGGAUGCUUCUACUGGCCUCUACCAUUUCAACAGCACACUCAAGUGGACUGUAGACCCUACAUGUCAUACCAACCGCAUACCAACAAAUACUGAACCUAAUAAGGGAGAUCCAGACAGCGCCCGAUACCGGUACUUAACAAUCAUUCCCAUUUUGUUGGUGCUUGGACUUUCCCUGCUCUUGUGGCGCCGUUGGGACACACAGAGUUCAUAAAGGAUACGAGAAGUGGGGGCUGACAGCUUCUACUGCUAAACACACAAUGAACUCUAAUGUGAGGCAAUUUCCACCGAACUGAUUAGUCAUGGAUAUGGCAUCAUGCCCACGCAGGUUACAUCCUGUUUUCAUGCCGCUCAAGGAAUGGGGUGUUUCGGAAAAGGAUGUCCAUCUUGUGAGCUUUUAUGGAUGUUUGCAGGCAGGUGUUUAUAUUCUUUCCUUUCAAAUUCAAGGAUUGUAAAAAGAAAUUUUCCCUUUACGAUAUGAAGAUGAAGUGAUAUGUUUCAAUUAGGAUGGAACGGUUCAAGUAAAAGACAUUAUGCCAGUGUGUCCGUUGACAGUGCAAGUAGGAGAGAGUUAGACGGGACAAUCCAAUCUGCAGCUAAAGCAUUACAUAUUAUAGAGAAAGAUGGAUGCAGGAUUUCAGCAUAUGAUUAAAGUAACAUUACUUGAGCCGCUACAUUCGCAAACCUUUCAGUAGCGUCCGAACUUGCAAAGGAAAAUAAAAAUAGAAUGCAGUGCUAUUUUGAAAACCGUGUACAGUGUGUGUUUUGGUUAUGCUGCACUUAGUCAAUGUCCUUGAUGUUCCACAUCUGGGUUUGCUCCGUUGUCGCUGGAAAAUCCGUCGGAUUUCACUCAUUUAGGCCGGAUAUCCGUUGCCUUGGGCUUUUGUGUUGUAACUCCGGUUGAUUUAUGAGGGCCAUGGUUAACCUUUUCUCAGAUCUCUGCAGGGUAAAUCCAGACAGCUAGCUAGACUAUCUGUUUAAUUGAGAAUUUGGUUGCAUGACUAAAAUAACUUUUAAACGUACACGUUCCACCAAAACUAUUUCCUUCCGAGCCUAUUUUGCAGCGGCACCGCAGCCUUUCUCCAGUGCUUAGCACCGCCCAAGACGAUUGUGA